rnacentral:rRNA from 1 species
CAUACACGGAGCACGGGCUCUCGCCUCCUCUCUCGCUCGCCGCCGCCACCACCCACGUCGGCCGCUUCUCCGGUGACCUCCGGUGCCGUGCAGCACGCCCCGAGCUCCCCACGGUCCACGCCUCCCUCCCCUCCGGCCAGAGUCUCCGCUCCCGUCCUCUACCGCCCGCUCGCAAGCCCAUCCCCCAUGGCUAGGGUUUCGGGUAGGGCUUCGCAGCCGCGUCUCCGGCUGCCCCAGGUUCGUUCCUCGUUCGUUCUUGGUCUCCCUUUAUCUAACUAAUCAUGUUUAGGUUUUUUAGGGGAUAAACAAGGGGAGGUAUAGCAGGGCGUUGGACAUUUGCGGGAGUGGGGGAGAUCGAUGAGGACGAGGACUGUCUGGUGCACUGCUGGUGCGGGGAGGGCAGGGGAGAGGGAUGGCUGCUGCGCUGCUGUUAGCUGCAUAUAGUACUGCUCCUUUCCUGUUGUUUGUUGAUUGCUGCUGCUGCUGCUGCUACUUUGAUGCAGUUGCUGCUAAUUUGAUGUGAAGGACGUGCAGGGACGGACGACGAGUGAGCAGAGGAUUUAUCCGGGACCUAAAUUUGGCAGGUAAAAAUUGGUCUGUUUGCCGCUAGCUGGCUUCAUGUGAUGCUAGUGUGCUAUGGAGAGGUACAGAGGUUAUUUUACAGGACCAUGAAGGUUCAUGAUUGGCAAUUGAUCUUGGGCUAUUGGCUUAUUAUGAUCAAAACUGAGAUUAUAUGCGCCACUGUUAGUGGUCUUGCAGAGUUGGAAUGUUAUGCUUCACUGUAAUUGCUUUACUGAAUCUACAGACUAAGAAAAUUUCUAUUUCUUGUGUCAGGCAAAUGGGUGAGCUCUCACAUCCCUCUCGGUCUCCUUUGAUUUGCUGCUGCUGCUACUUUGAUGCAGUCCAUGACCUCUCUUGGGCCUUGGCAGUGGCGAGCUAGGUGCCGGCGAGGUAGGCGACAUCAUCAAUGAGGGCCAUCAUGGCCUCCACCUGCGCCCUCUUGCAGGUGGACUGCUGGUCAUCGGUGCGGCGGGUCGGGCUCUUGCAGCAACAUCUACGAUAUUCUCUGGACGACCUGCAGGUAGGCCAGUAGAUGAGGAUUCGACGACCACCACCGAGGUAUGCCCUCCUCUCCUUGCCCUUGGGCUGGCAUCUCUGAUCAGGUUGUAAUCUGCUGAUGUAGUGUUGCUCUUUGGGGAUUCCUAUGGGAUCUAUUUUUGAUUGGUCAAAGCUGGUAUGUUGGCCACCGGUUGGUUUAACAUGAUGCUAUAAUGCGCUACGGAGAGAUAUGUUAUUCCAGUACAAGUGGCCGGUCAGUUAAUUUGAGGAUUUUUGCCUUUUGUUCUUCAGGCCUAUAGCUUUGUGGUUUCAGUUCGACAGUUAAAAGUUGCAUUGGCUUGUAAAAAUUCAUGUGAUUGGACCAGUAGGUGAGGAUGAUCUCAUAUGGAAAAUACUGCUCCAUGGUAUUAAAAUCUGUUAUAGGUGUUGGAAGUCAAUGCUAGGAGCUCCUGGGAUGUGCUCAUGCAUGCUUGGUCGGAACUUUUCUUUUGAAUCAAUUGAUGAACCGAUGGCAUCAAAUAUGCCGUAUGUGUACUCCACUACGUACGACAGGGUGGAAACAAGUUUGAUCGAUGGAGAUGGAUUUCUAUCCUGUUGGUGCAAUUGUAUGUUCAGGUGGUUCUUUCAUGUCCGUUCUCUCUAGCUUCUUGAUGUUUUCUUUCUCAGGUGUAAUUUAGUUGCCAUUUGUAAUAGCCAAAUUUUCAUGUCAAACAUGAUUUAAAGAUUUUCUAUGCC